CAUAUCAAAAAGCGGAGGAAAAGAAACCAACAGGGAUUGCCUCAGUAGCGGCGAGUGAAGCGGCAAAAGCUCAAAUUUGAAAUCUGGCGUCUUUGGCGUCCGAGUUGUAAUUUGAAGAAGGUAUCUUUGGGCCCGGCUCUUGUCUAUGUUCCUUGGAACAGGACGUCACAGAGGGUGAGAAUCCCGUGCGAUGAGAUGACCCGGGUCUGUGUAAAGUUCCUUCGACGAGUCGAGUUGUUUGGGAAUGCAGCUCUAAGUGGGUGGUAAAUUCCAUCUAAAGCUAAAUAUUGGCGAGAGACCGAUAGCGAACAAGUACAGUGAUGGAAAGAUGAAAAGAACUUUGAAAAGAGAGUGAAAAAGUACGUGAAAUUGUUGAAAGGGAAGGGCUUGAGAUCAGACUUGGUAUUUUGCAUGCUGCUCUCUCGGGGGCGGCCGCUGCGGUUUACCGGGCCAGCAUCGGUUUGGAGCGGCAGGAUAAUGGCGGAGGAAUGUGGCACGGCUUCUGCUGUGUGUUAUAUCCUCUGACGAUACUGCCAGCCUAGACCGAGGACUGCGGUUUUUACCUAGGAUGUUGGCAUAAUGAUCUUAAGUCGCCCGUCUUGAAACACGGACC
rnacentral:rRNA from 1 species